rnacentral:rRNA from 1 species
UACGGGGGGGGCAAGCGUUGUUCGGAAUUACUGGGCGUAAAGGGCUCGUAGGUGGCCAACUAAGUCAGACGUGAAAUCCCCAGGCUUAACCUGGGAACUGCGUCCGAUACUGGCAGGCUUGAAUCCGGGAGAGGGAUGUGGAAUUCCAGGUGCAGCGGUGAAAUGCGUAGAUAUCUGGAGGAACACCGGUGGCGAAGGCGGCAUCCUGGACCGGCAUUGACGCUGAGGCGCGAAAGCUAGGGGAGCAAACGGG